UAAUGAGGCUUUCACAGGAAAUCUUGAUGUGACUUUCAUUUUUGCUAAGUUCCACUUUUUCACAGUAGAAAAAAGGGAACUUCGAAGUUCAGUCAACAACUUCAUCAUCUCUCGCUUAUAGACCAACUAGAGCACUCUGUUCUUCUCACCAAGGCCUGGUCAUGAUGUCUAAUACAACUUGUCUCUCUGCAAACUCUACCACAGACUGCCUAGACUCAGCUUCUUUAAGUUCUUCUGUGGGAUAUGCUGUGGGUCUUCCUCUGUUCUUCAUUGUUCUGGGAGUAGUGAUUGCACUGAUCUAUACCAAGCGCAGUAAAUUGAGGAAUAUGGGGCAGUUAGAUCAACUCAAGAGCACAGAGGUCAACACACGUCAGCUUGAGGGUUCCCAAUACUCGGCCAUGGUCAGACCACCACCCGCUGAUCCCAGCCCUAUCUACGAGAACUUCACUGACUCCAACAAAACAACCAUCAACAUGAACAGGUCACCCGUUGAACCUGAGGACGUAUAUCUGCAGUGUGAUUUACUCGAUGACGCAAUUUACAGCAACGACAUGUCCUGUAGCCUGGACAUACUGCCUCCUGACCCUGAGGAGGAAGAUAUUUAUAUAAUGCCAGAUGUUUUAUAGUUACAGCCAUAAAGAUGACCCUAUUCAAAUCCAAACGGAGUCAUAUUUUACUAGGACAGGAAGAGGAAUCAAAGGAGCCAAUAUGUUCUGGUGGCUUUUAUGUUUUAUCCACCUCUGAAGGAACUUGGCCAUAUUGACAAAAACAUUUGUCUUAAUUAGAAUCUUUUGCUUUGUUUUACAGACUAAAAGGUAUGUUAUGUUAUUGUACAUAUUUUAGUUAGUGCCUGCUAGGUUCAGUACAGGGCAACAACUGUUUUGGGCAAAUUUAAAUAUACGUAGCAGUUUAGGCCAAAAUGUAAAACAUUUUUACAGUGAACUUUUUCACUCUGUAGUUAGGGAGAAGUCGACAUUUUCCCAAUUGUUCCCCGGAGGGGCGUGUUGCCUAAAAGAUUGGCUGUGCUGUGUACACUGCCACUUCAGGAGGUGAGUCCAAGGCUUCUUCCCCCCCCCAUUAUGGGGUAUUGUGUGUAGGCCAAUGACAAAAAGUCUUCAUCCAUUUUAAAUUCAGGCUGUAACACAACAUAAUGUGGAAAAAGUCAAGGGGUGUGAAGACUUUCUGAAGGCCCUGUAUAGCAGUCUUGUUGACCGGUCUCGAGUACGGUCUCGAGACCACAUAUUGAGUGUCUCGGUGUUGUCUCGGUGUCUGAUACAUUUGGACUCGGUCUUGACUCGGUCUCGGACAGUGAGGACUCAUAAUUUCUUGCCUAGACCAACAGAGUAAAAAACUCAUAAUUAUCAGCUUCCAUUCAGUCCAGUGUUGCAAUUUUGUGGUUUUCUUGCCAAAUUUGGAAACUUUGAAAACAAUGUUGCGGGGGAAAAUGUAUUGGUCAUGGGUGGCAGAUUUUUGGCAGUACUUCUAAACUGCACCAUUUUACAUUACAUUUAUUUUUAUUUUUUUACAUUUUAGUCAUUUCGCAGACAGUCUUAUCCAGAGCGACUUACAGUAGUGAAUGCAUACAUUUCAUACAUUUCCCUCCCAUACUGGUCCCCCGUGGGAAUCGAACUCACAGCCCUGGCGUUGCAAACACCAUGCUCUACCAACUGAGCCACACGUGACCACCAUGGCAUUUCUCUUAAAAAUAUAUACAUAUAUUUCACUGUGACCUGCUGCCUCUGACUUUCAGGCAGUGAGCAGGCUGUAACUGAGUGAGUGAGUCAGUGAGUGAGCAUAUGAAUGGGGGAGAGGGAGAGGGCCGGAGGGGUGCGUGUGUGCGUUGAGAGUACUGGUUGAGAGAGUGCUGCAGCAGAGGAAGCUGAGUCACGGAGACAGAGCAGCACCAGUGCACUUUGUGACCACUUUUGACCAGUUGUAGGUAGGCUAUUUAGAUUGGUCAUUAUGGAGGCACACUUUUUACAUAAAACAUAUAUUAAUGCGCCAGAACAGCAACAAAGCAUUGGAAAAGGACUUUAGGCCACUAGCGCUGUUUAGAUAAGUUUGAUCAGAGGUGGUUGAAAGUAAACUGCAUUCUAAUGUCGACUUUUCUCAUGGUUAACCAUAUCAAGCGAAGGGUUUUACUCAUGCUCAGUUCCAGGGUCUGGAGCGCUGUGCGAGUUGAAACUUUAAAUGGAAGUUAUGGAACACCCUCGCAUGCUUCUGUUAUGGGAAAAAGUCCACAGUGAAAAUGACAUUAAAUGUGGAGAAUGAUAGGCUACAUCUGCAUCUGUUGGCCAUCCAGUGGGCUAUUCAGUUCUAUUCCAUUUUAGGCUACUGUGGCCUUCCAUUUGAAACAAUAAAUAUGUUGAAAUGAUUAUAUUACUGGUGUCAUUGCAAACCUAUUUGUGUCACUUAUGUAGCCUACCUGGAGCAAAUGUAUCAUUCUCCACAUUUAAUGUCAGUUUCAUUGUGGACUUUUCCCUGAAAUGAUAUGUUGGCAUGUUGGCCUAUCAUGGGCUAUAGACUACCUGCAUCUAUCUCAGUAAACCACGGCAAAGUUUAAUUGCAAUUAUAAACCCAGAUUUUAGUCAUUAGCCUAUGCCUAUUGAAAUAACAAGUCAAUCUCGCAAAUAGACCAUUUAUAAUGGUUUGUAGUCUUAACAUCUGGCACACAAUGAAGGCACAAUUGACAGAAAAUAGCCUAACUUUUUUUUUUUAAAGUUCAUCCAAGUGUUUCUUGCGCAGAGAUUUGAAGAUCCUCUGUCCAACUUUCAUCACUCAAACUCUCCUUUCGGAUUUAUCUAUAGUUAUGCACAUGCUACAAUUAUAAACUGGGUGGUUUGAGCCCUGAAUGUUGAUUGGUUGAAAGCCAUGGUUUAUCAGAUGUGUACCACAGGAAUGACAAAUAACUUGUUUUGACUGCUAUGAUUAAGCAAUAAAGCCCAAGGAGGUAUGGCCAAUAUACCAUGGCUAAGGGCUGUUCUUUGUGGUAUAUGGUCAAUAUACAACGACUAAGGCAUAUGUCCUGAGAACAGUCAUUAGCCGUGGUAAAUUGGCCAUGUACCACACCAGAUUGGGCUUUCUUGCUUAAUCAUAGCAGUCAAAACAAGUUAAAUCGACAUCCAUUGAGGGAAAAUUAUCUGGAGAGUUUAAUAAGGGCGAUUUAUCUUUUCUCUUGCGAUAUAUUCUUAAACUCGCAAUAAUUAUUAUUUUAAUGGAAAACCAAAUGUUGCUUCUUAGUCUACGUCGCAAAAAAUUAACUCAAUAUUCCUUCUUAAUUCACUCGAUAACGUUAUGGAAAAAGUGUUUAUUGGAUAAAUGUGGCAAGUCCUCUUUUGCUGCAAAAAAUUAUUUGGGCUAGUUUUCAGGCCUUGUACCUGGCAACCCUGAUUCAGUCAGUGCAUAAAACCACUUCCAUAGGCCAAAUAUAUACACUCCUUUCUCGGAACAUUAAUAUCUUAACAGCCUUAUCUAUUAUAGACAUGUUUGCACACUGGUGAACCUAUAGGCCUUCAGUUUGUGACAGGUUUGUGAUUCUGAAAGGACAGCAACCGUAAUACCAAUGAACUUUUGUAAAAACACAAAGGUCCAAUAGUGUAGUGGAGGGUAUACUCAGGUAUAAACCCAACACAAUCUCACACUCAAUUCAUGCAAAUAUGUACAAAUAGAUUUUCAGCAGAUUUUGUGUGUUAUUGUGUGGCUUAAUUUGUGUGAAAAGACACAAAUUUUUUGUGCGACUUAAUUAAUAGGAAAAUACACACAUUUUUGUGCGACUUCAUUCAUAGGAAAAUACAUUUUUGGGGGACAAACUUAGGAACAAUCUUUUGAAAGUUAUUAGAGCAAUGCAUGAUGGGGUUGUUGUUCUACACUGCCUUUUUUUGUGUCCCACAUUUCUUAAUUUUAAAAACAAAUGUCUUAACAACCCAAUCUUGUUAAUCAACCAGGUUGUCACCUAAAUAAUUAUAAUAUAAUAUUAGCCUUGUUGUUUUUUUAUUUGUAUUAAUGCCAAUGCUGUUUUCUAUGCUUGUUUUCACAUAACACUUUGGAAUACUUGUGCUAUGUCGGAUUUUAUGAGGGUCGUCAAAUUGGAGUAAAAAGCUUUAUUUGUCUGUUUUUAUUUUGUGGUAUCGAUGAAGGUAUAUGAUUGUUUUUUCAGUGGGCAUUGCAUACAGUAUACUCACUUCUUAAUCCCUACUGAUGCGUAUCGAAGUAGUGUAGUGGAGGUAUACGACUUAUCAAUUAUGUAGUACAAUAGGGAAACCAUGCACAAAGUAGCCACACAUAUAACCUAGUUUCAGCUGAAUAUCAUCUGCAGGCAGCAAGAGUGUGCAGCUCUCAGCUGGUUUUGGCAUGGAGCAGCUCACAGAAGAAUGACAUCGGUAGUGGUAGGGUAGGAAAAACAUUUCAACUUAUGAUAUCAGCCAGUAAAUGCUAACUAAGGCAACAACGGGUAUGCAAACCAUGUAUUGAAAAAGUUUAGUCCACAGUGUUGGUUAGUUGGCUAUUUGUGAUGCUCAAUUGUCAUCAUGUACUGUUUGCAUCAGGGGUGUAGACAUGGAUGGGCCUGGUUGGACAGAGGCCCACCCACUGGGGAGCCGGGCCCUGACAGGCCCACCCAAUCAGAUUGAUGUGGUUUAAGCAUUGUUGUGGACUUAGACCAUCAAAUUUUUGUAUUUGUUUUAUUUUUAAAAAGUGAUAUUUUGAGAGUGAAAAUCUGAAAAAUCUAUAGGAAAACUCAAAGGACGAGGAGGCUACAAUUCCCCAUCUUGUUGAUGUGCAUAACCGAGAGAGUCUACCUUUUCAUGGUUGUUACAUCAAUAAGACUGUAAAGUUCCCAUAUGUAAGAGGACUUCCGUGGUGUUUACAUAUUAUCAAAAAUCCAUUCAGGUGUAUUUUGUGGCUUUUGGCGAAUGCGUUCUAAUGAUAUAAAGUCACACUGUUGCAACUGCCUGUUAACACACAGUCCAGUUCAUAGUAAAUGAUGACAGGUCCUACUGCCUGUAAACACACAGUCCAGUUCAUAGUAAAUGAUGACAGGUCCUACUGCCUGUAAACACACAGUCCAGUUCAAAGUGAAUGAUGACAGGCCCGUGUGACAAAUGGCUUGUUUGUAUAAAGGCCUACUGUAGCUCUGAUCGGCUAUACCGCACCGGUCUGUGAAGACUCCGUUCCUGGACAAGACAGAUGUUUUAAUUCUGUUCUAUUUACUGCAGUAUAACGGCCGCUUUCCCACUCUAUAUUGCUAGAGAAUUUUCACAAAUGCCUUAGUAUACGUAAUUCCCAAACAUUCUAAGAAUUUUUGAAAAAGUGGAAAUGACCAGAUCUAAGCAGUGGUGUAAAGUACUUAAGUAAAAAUACUUUCAUGUACUACUUAAGUAGUUUUUGGGGUAUCUGUACUUUACUUUGCUAUUUAUAUUUUUGACAACUUUUACUUCACUACAUUUCUAAAGAAAAUUAUGUACUUUUUACUCCAUACAGUUCCCUGACACCUAAAAGUACUUGUUACAUUUUAAAUGCUUAGCAGGACAGGAAAAUGGUCCAAUUCACGCACUUAUCAAGAGAACAUCCCUGGUCUUCCCUACUACCUGAUCUGGCGGAUUCACUAAACACAAAUGCUUUGUUUGUAAAUGAUGUCUGAGUGUUGGAGUGUGCCACUGGCUAUCUGUCAAUAAAAAACACAAGAGAA